GAUGGGGUCUGAUCGUCGAAUUUGUUUCGGUGUUUCUUACUGGCGAACGGGUGGGUGCAGGUGGUCAACCGGCCUCGGGGUUGGGGACGAGGUUCUCAAAGGAGUGCUAAUGCCGAAGGUCUGCAUUAGUAUUCGGGGUUUUGGAGGAAAGAGGGCCUCUAUUUAUAACCUAUCGGCAGGAUGUGGGCCUGCGUCUGAUUAGUUAGUUGGUGGGGUAACGGGUCACCAAUGCGAUGAUCGGUAUGCGUGCGGAAAGGAUGAAGGGCGAGUUUGGGACUGAGACAGGGCCCAAACUACUACGGGAGGCAGCAGUGGGGAAUCUUCCGCAAUGGGCGAAAGCCUGACGGAGCAACGCCGCGUGAGUGAUGAAGGCCUUCGGGCUGUAAAACUCUGUUGUCAGGGACGAAGGUGCGCUUUUCGAACAGAUGAGCGUAUUGACGGUACCUGACGAGGAAGCCACGACUAACUACGUGCCAGCAGCCGCGGUAAUACGUAGGUGGCAAGCGUUGUCCGGAAUUAUUGGGCGUAAAGAGCAUGUAGGCGGGCCUUUAAGUCCGACGUGAAAAUGCGGGGCUCAACCCCGUAUGGCGUUGGAUACUGGAGGUCUUGAGUGCAGGAGA
rnacentral:rRNA from 1 species